UCUGUCUCCCUCUCUCUCUACCCCUCCCCUGCUGGUUCUUUCUCUCUCUCAAAUAUAAAUAAAUAUUAAAACAUUUUUUAGAUGUGUAAAAUGCUGAGCGAUGGUAUUUUAAAUAGCACUAAAAUAGCACAGAUGGCUUGUGGGAAACCCCCCUAAGGGCUGCCCUGCCGAUGCAAAUCAGAUGGCCGGAAACUCCUUUCUCAGGAGAGGGUCCGUUUCCAAACAGAGACUGAAGGAAUGAACUAAGUAGAUACCUGGGAGGAGAACUUUCCAGGCAGAGGGUGUGGCCUGGAAGCAUUUGGCUGAGACGGAAGCAUUUGGCUGUUCUAGGAACACCCGCUGGAGCUCGGCGAGUGGUAGGAGAGGUCAGAUGGCUGGAAAACAUUCACGCGGGGCCUGCCUGGCCUUGGGACGAUUUGGCAUUUUACUCAGAAUGAGACGGGAAGAGACUGCAGGGUCGAAAGUACCAGAAGAGUCGAGCGGGACACUACUCCAAGAAGUCCAACUAAGGGCCGAUGGCAACUUGGACAAAACCGUAGCGGUGAGUGGUAGGAAGCGGUUGAGGCCGUAUUUUGAAAACACAACAGACCGGUUUGCUGACGGUGUGGACGUGGAAGCGUGAGAGAAAGAAGCCAGAAUGGCUCUCAGGGCUUUGGCUCGUGUAACCCGCAGAAAGAAGCUGCGGUGUUCUGAGCCGGAGGUCACCAGAGAGGGUGCGGGUUCACACGAGGGGUGACGAAUCAGAAUUCAGUUUUGGAACUUGUUUAAACACGGUUAAAAAAAACAAAAAAAAAACCCCACACACAAAAUACAAGCGUACAAAGAACACAUCUGUACAACCAGCAUCCCAGCAGCCCCUCAAGCCCCUUCCAGUCACAACCUCGCUCUUCCCCAAAGGUAACCGCCGUCCCGCAUUCUAAUGCAUAGGUAAGUUUCACCGGUUUUGCUCUUUGCUCCUACAAACUCGCAAAGCUGGAGGCUUCUGUGACUAGCUUUUUCAACUCAGACCGUGCGUGUGAGGCUCACAGCUGCAAGGAGCUGAGCACGUAGCCCCGUCUCUCCGUCCUACCAACAGACGCGUCGUUCCGACCGUUUCCGGUGCGAGGCAAUUCCGACUAAUGCCACCAGUGACAUUCGCACGUGUCUUCUGUGCACGUGUACCCACCUGUUUGAACACCUAGGAGUGAAAUUAUGGCAUCAUGGGGGGGGGGGGGACACGCGUUCAACUUCAGUAGACGCCGCCAAACCACUCGCCGAAGCGGAACAAUUUCCCCUCCGCCACGCGGUAAGUUUCUGUUGCUCUGCAUCUUUGCCAACAUUUGCGUUUGUGUGUUUAGUUUUAGCGAUCGGGGCCAAGUGUUGCUUCGGAUCCUUGAGACAUCCAGGUGUAGGCCGCCAGUAGGCUGCCAGGGAGGCAAGUCAGGAGCACGAGGGAGAGAAGUGCACUCUCUCCACAGCCUACGGUGUGCAUUUAAGAUCGUGGGACUGGACGGGCUGGCUUAGGAGGAGAGCGGAGAGAAGCGUUCCGAGGACGGGGCCCUUAGGAAUCAGAAAGGUGAGACCCAUGCGGAAGGCAGGCAGCAGGUGAGGCGGGAUAGUGAAGGAGCGCAGCACACGGAAGCCACACGCGAACUGUGUCUCAGAAGGCGAAGACGGCCGACUGGGUCUCCCUCGAGGCUGAUAGAAGAUGAAGGCUGAGCACGUCAGGUUUGGCAGUAACGAGAUCAGCGUUGCCCUUAAGAGCAGCUCGGGCAGACUAAAAGCUGACUGGAGGGGGGUUCGCAGACUAGGAAGGAAACAGUUGGAGAAAGCCAAGUCUGGGCACUUGAGUUUUGCUACAAUGCGAAGAGAAAAUCGGGGUAGUUGCCGGAAGAGGGUACCGAAUGGAUGAGAUCUCCCGGUAUGUUGGAACGCUGCCGAGGCUGAACCAGUGAUGAUCUGGAGAGGAGUCGCCAUACGGCGAAGCCCUGAAGGGAGGGGGAGCGGGCUGACCUCAAAGCAGGAGGGAACACGGGGUCCUUGGCCGUGGCUGCCGGCAGGCUGGCGGAGGCCCGAUGUGGAAGCGCUCCCCCGACCGCUCCCGCCGCUUCGUCGAAUUGGGUCCUCAGCUGAGCCUGAGCAGUGGGUGAAGCAAGGAGAGGCCUAAGGAAAGGAGGGCAGGAGAGGGGGACCGACCUGACUGAGGAAAGGCGGGGCUGGAGGGCAACGGACAGUCCCUUUGAGAAAUCUGGCCGUGAACGCCAAAUGAGACCAGUCACCAUCCCGAGUUUCCUUUAGCAACGGUCUGCUGUUCUGUUCUGCUGCAGGGGGGCAGGGACGGAAUAAGCCGGAAACCGGAUUUAACCGGGAGUUUUCUAGGAGAGUCUGAGCCAACAGAAGGUUAAGAAAACAAGGGAGGUUGUGAGAGACAGCUUAUAAUAAUGGCUCGUGAAAUUUAAGCAGGGAAUGGAGAGAGGGAAGCAAAGAUAAAUCCAUAGGUCUCACUGUUUGAGGUUUUGUUGGGGUUGAAAAAACUAAAGUGACAGUACUAGAGGGAGGAAGCUGAAAGGGUAGGAAGGAGAUGGCAGUCAGGCCGCGGCUGCUGGAAAUGGGGUUUCUGAGGAGUGUACUUACUGGUAAGGACACAAGGUCCAGAGUGUGACCGUGGGUGCAGAUGUCUGAGGAGGAAGGGAAAACGGACUGUGGGAGGAGAGGAGGGCCGGGCGUUAGACGGGUUGCCUGCACGUGCAUUAAAAUCCCCAAGGAGAACAGUCCCGGGAAGAGUGAGGCAGGUGCCGUAUCCUCCCGCGGAUGAGGGAGUGACCUGGGGUCGGCGGAGGACCUCAAGGAGAGGUUGUGGGUGGCCGACUCUGUGCUUUGAUGGCAGGUGUCCUGGUGGAGCUGGGGGUUCCAGGGAAGAGGCAGAAAUGACGGCCCGUAACAGGCGACGAGGAGCAAGCAGGACACCUACCCCAGCUCCGGGCCAAUCUGACCGCCGGGAGAGCACGCGAUGUUUGCGCUCAUUACAGAGUCCAGUCCUCACCACAGCCGCACUUUUGUUAAGACGUUAGUGUCCUGUUUUAUACGAGUCUCAAAUGAGCGAUCUGACUUGCGAUGGUCAAUGUGAAUAUGUUCUGGCGCACCUGGGCUCAGACGCUUGGAACCAGGCCCUGGACAAUGACGGCGGCGAUAAUAACUACCAUUUAUUAAAAAGCAUCAUCCCAGGCCACUUAACAUGCAUUAUCCCAUUUUUUAAAACUACAGGCCUAGAAGGUCUGCGUUGCUACACCUGCUUUUACAGAUGAUAAAACAAAUUUACACAGUAAAGUAACUUUUCUGUCAAUUAUAUAGGAAGUGGUGGAAUGAGCAUUCAAAUUCUGUUCUGGCUUGGUUCCAAGUCCGUAUUUUUCCACCUCAUUGCGAAGCCUAAGAGUCAGUCACCAAAAGUAAUGCUACCCUCUGGGUGUUGAGUUGACCGGCUCCCCUCCAGGGGCAAGAGUACAUAGUGGCGCCCCUCUUGCCAUCUCUGUCACAGCUUCAUGCACUCAGAGUUCCAGCGCUGGCAUUUUCCUCAUCAGGGGGCGCCUGGGGAGGCUCGGUCGGUUAAACGUCUGCCUCCUGAUUUUGGCUCAGGUCAUCGUCUCACGGUUCGUGAGUUCGAGCCCCAUAUCGGGUU